rnacentral:misc_RNA from 1 species
GUGUUCAUUAUUAAACAAAACAGACAUUCAAAAUCCUUGGUUGUAUAUAUAAACAAAACAUAGGCUUCAAGAGCCUACAAAGGGUGCACAGGUGUGAUAAAAAGGGUCAGAAUGGUUUGAGGAGUGCACAUUGCCCCAGAGAGCCAGCAAACAUCCCCAAGCAUUUCAGUAAUGAUCCUUCCGCAGGUUCACCUACGGAAA